UGAAGAAUGCUUCAUUAAUACAGAGAGAAAAAGAAAAAAAUUGUUGAAAAUAAUGAAUAAUAUUCUAUUAAUGUAGAGAGAAAAAAAUUAUUAAAAAAAUGAAGAAGUACAUAAUGUUUUGAGAAUAAAAAAAAUAUGAAAAAAUGUAGAAUAUUUUGAAAUAAAAAAAUGGUUUAAACCCUUUUUUGGUCUCUAAGUUAAGUUCUGAUGUUCAGUUUA
rnacentral:lncRNA from 1 species